UAUUUUUCCUCGCAUUUUCAGCUUUUGGCUGACUUGUUAAAGUUCCCUGCCUGUGACGACCCAGAUAUUACAUGACCAUGAUACGACCAUAAUAUUUAUAUUUAAUGAACAUGCAAGUUCUCUUGGAAUAUUGAAACUCAGUAAGAAAACGUAUGUGUGAGGCUACAACUGGACUUAUCAUAAGUAUCGUUUCAAAUCAAUCAAAGAGAUUACAUCGCUGCAAUUACUAAUGAGAAAUAUGACAAGAUUCCUGAGCUCAAUUUCUCUACAACAGCGGAUGCACUGGUAAGAACUACUCGUCUACAGAAUACUCACUUUGAAACAAUUUUUGAACACUUGCACUCGUUGUUUUUGAAGCUUAGCUCGCUUGCUGGGACUUAGACCACUGUCCCAUGAAGAGGAUGUUGAAAGCAGAGCUAGAAGGGCUUGAACUAAUCCACUACUAUGCAGUUCGUAGGCUGAUACAACGCCGUCCUCCCGAAGAAGUUGGACUAAAUCGUGAAGGGCUCCGGAUAAAAGCUCCCGCCAAGCACCUUGUUUGCUGCAAUCUCUGUUCAUUUGUUGUUUCUUUGUUAUCACCGAAUACUGAGGGCGGAAGGGGGAGGGAAAUACAGAUGCCUGAAUUUGGGACUUAUUCUACAGUAGAAGGAUCGACAUGGAGAAAAUUUCUCAAUAUAGGUCCUCUAGAACCAUUUAUUUAGCUAUAAGCAUCAGUGUAGCACUAAUGGUUUUGAAGCUGAGAGCAUGCAUCAGCAAGAUAUCACUAAUUUGUUAUUCUCGAAAAUUGUAUGAAAAAAGAGCUUGAAGUUCUGUAUGAUUCAAUCACUAAGUAACUUAAGGGGUACGUGCAAAACGGGCCAUUUCACGCUCGUGUCGGAUACCAUUGAAACUUGCUCUAUUAAUUCAUCUAACAAUGCCCCAUAUUUUCCCAAAGUUUCAAGUCCCCAGAAAAUUUUGGGGGGAAGUGGCGGGGGGUCAAAGUUGGAAAUCCGCGAAAUUUUCGCGAAUUUUUUACUCGAAAACUACUAAAUAUUUCGAAACGCGGUUUAAACAAGCGUUUUCAGCGUAAAAAGAGCUUUCAGAAAAUGUAUAAUAUCAUAGGGUUUUGUUGACUUAAACUCGAGUUAUCGCCUCCGAAGCGCCAGAACGCUAAAAAAUGACCCGCUUUUUCUUCACGUUCGGGCCGAUCCCCAAAAUAGCCCAUUUUUAAUUUCUUUGAAAAACUGAUAUGUUGUUCCUGACUCUCUAUGGCACCUAUAUGUCUUUACCGUAUCCUGGGGAAAUGUUUUGUUCGCGAGUUAUAAGCGCGGAAAGGAGCGAAAGUCGGGAAAAUCGGCUAUUUUGAACUGCGCGCGGCGACGGAUCAGGAGACAUGUGGCAACAAUGCGAGGUCGGCAGAGGAGUGUGAUUCGCCGAACUGAGCAGGAGGGGGCGUUCUCCUUCUAACCCAUGCGACGCGCGCAGUUCAAAAUAGCCGAUUUUCCCGACUUUCGCUCCUUUCCGCGCUUAUAACUCGCGAACAAAACAUUUCCCCAGGAUACGGUAAAGACAUAUAGGUGCCAUAGAGAGUCAGGAACAACAUAUCAGUUUUUCAAAGAAAUUAAAAAUGGGCUAUUUUGGGGAUCGGCCCGAACGUGAAGAAAAAGCGGGUCAUUUUUUAGCGUUCUGGCGCUUCGGAGGCGAUAACUCGAGUUUAAGUCAACAAAACCCUAUGAUAUUAUACAUUUUCUGAAAGCUCUUUUUACGCUGAAAACGCUUGUUUAAACCGCGUUUCGAAAUAUUUAGUAGUUUUCGAGUAAAAAAUUCGCGAAAAUUUCGCGGAUUUCCAACUUUGACCCCCCGCCACUUCCCCCCAAAAUUUUCUGGGGACUUGAAACUUUGGGAAAAUAUGGGGCAUUGUUAGAUGAAUUAAUAGAGCAAGUUUCAAUGGUAUCCGACACGAGCGUGAAAUGGCCCGUUUUGCACGUACCCCUUUAGUGGACUAAAUUGAAUAAAAGAGGGAAAAAAACAACAACAAUUGAGACAAAAUUUUCUGCUAGAUUGAAGAGCUGAUUUGAACGGUGUUUCUCAAGGUGCAAAACGUUUGAACCAACGCAACCGCGGUAGUUGAAAAAACGCAGGAUUUUUCCAAAAAAACUUUGUGCUCCAAACUACACCAUUGAUGAAUCAAUAACCGUGUCGAAUGUUCAGAGUCUAAGUUUUAUCACUGUUACUGUUUAUUUCACCCGAAAAUUUAUGAAAAGGUUUCAAGAAGAUUAAUUUUCAGAGAGAAAUGAAAGCUGCCUCUUUUCAUCAAAGAAGAGCUGAAAACAAUCAUGAAAUUUUUUAUAUUAAAUUAUGAAAAUAGUUAACUUAUCAAUAGCUAGGGAACGAUACCGCCUAUCUGAAAACUGACGACGAUUUUACAGAAUGA
rnacentral:lncRNA from 1 species